rnacentral:rRNA from 1 species
AUUGAACGCUAGCGGGAUGCCUUACACAUGCAAGUCGAACGGAGUGGCGAACGGGUGAGUAAUGUAUCGGAACGUGACCAGUAGCGGGGGAUAACUACGCGAAAGCGUCGCUAAUACCGCAUACUCUUGGAGCGGCCGAUAACGGAUUAGCUAGUUGGGGGGGGAACGGCUAACCAAGGGGACGCUCCGUAGCUGGUUUGAGAGGACGACCAGCCACACUGUGAAUGAGACACGUCCCAGACUCCUACGGUAGGCAGCAGUGGGGAAUUUUGGACAAUGGGCGAAACCCUGAUCCAGCCAUCCCGCGUGUGCGAUGAAGGCCUUCGGGUUGUAAAGCACUUUUGGCAGGAAAGCGGUACCUGCAGAAUAAGCACCGGCUAACUACGUGCCAGCAGCCGCGGUAAUAC